UACGAAGGGGGCUAGCGUUGUUCGGAAUUACUGGGCGUAAAGCGCACGUAGGCGGCGCAGCAAGUUGGGGGUGAAAUCCCGAGGCUCAACCUCGGAAUUGCCUUCAAAACUGCUGUGCUCGAGUUCGGAAGAGGUGAGUGGAAUUCCCAGUGUGGAGGUGAAAUUCGUAGAGAUUGGGAAGAACACCAGUGGCGAAGGCGGCUCACUGGUCCGCAACUGACGCUGAGGUGCGAAAGCGUGGGGAGCAAACAGG
rnacentral:rRNA from 1 species